AUUGAACGCUGGCGGCAGGCCUAACACAUGCAAGUCGAGCGUAUGAAGGGAGCUUGCUCCUGGAUUCAGCGGCGGACGGGUGAGUAAUGCCUAGGAAUCUGCCUGGUAGUGGGGGAUAACGUCCGGAAACGGGCGCUAAUACCGCAUACGUCCUGAGGGAGAAAGUGGGGGAUCUUCGGACCUCACGCUAUCAGAUGAGCCUAGGUCGGAUUAGCUAGUUGGUGGGGUAAAGGCCUACCAAGGCGACGAUCCGUAACUGGUCUGAGAGGAUGAUCAGUCACACUGGAACUGAGACACGGUCCAGACUCCUACGGGAGGCAGCAGUGGGGAAUAUUGGACAAUGGGCGAAAGCCUGAUCCAGCCAUGCCGCGUGUGUGAAGAAGGUCUUCGGAUUGUAAAGCACUUUAAGUUGGGAGGAAGGGCAGUAAGUUAAUACCUUGCUGUUUUGACGUUACCAACAGGAUAAGCACCGGCUAACUUCGUG
rnacentral:rRNA from 1 species